GCCAGCAUGAGGCAAUGGUUUUAGCGUUGGACUGGGACUCUGAAGUCCAGGGUUCGAAUCCCAGCUGAGCCA